rnacentral:lncRNA from 1 species
GCUAUGACAAUGGUCUGACUUUGUCUCCCCUUUUCACCCCUACAGUCUCUUUUCCACACAAUAACUAGACAGAUGGUUCAAAAUGUAUCAGGUCAUGUCGCUCCUCUACUCAGAUCCCCCAAAAUCUUCCCACUUGCUCAGUUUUUUUUUUUUAAGCUUAUUUAAAGUUUUUUUUUUUUUAAGCCCAUUACAUAAACCCUCUUCUUGCUCAGUCUUUUCUAGGUAUCCUGGGUUCUUUGCUUUUCCACAAACAUACGAAGAACCCUCCUCAAGACCUUUCCAUCGCUCUCUUCUGCUGAACCACUCUUCUUCCAGGUAGAAGAGGAAUUACAAACCCCAAGUUGAAGAUGAAAAAAGCCCCAGUUUGAGAUGCAUGUGGCUAGGUCUUGCAAGGUAACACCUGAACAAGGGCCUCAUCUUUGGACCAUCUCUGGAGUCCGGUUCCCUCUACUUGGAGCUGCGCUUCAAGGGACAGCAUUUACAUUGAAGCCCAUGUGAAGGCUAUUCCUGGAAUUGUACAAUCUGACAAUCCUAACUGACUCCCAUAUAUUUUGGUUCAGGACACC